AACGCAUCUUGCGCUCCUUGGUAUUCCGAGGAGCAUGCCUGUUUGAGUGUCAUUAAUAUAUCAACCUCUUCAGCUUUUUGCUUGUCGAGUGUUGGAUGUGGGGGGAUAUUUUUUGCUGGACUCUAAUCUGAGGUCGGCUCCCCUAAAAUACAUUAGCGAAACAAUUUGUUUACUGCUCAUUGGUGUGAUAACUAUCUACGCUAUUGACGGUGAAGCACGUUUAGCUUCUAACAGUCCAUUAACCUUGGACAAUCUCUUCUUAAUGUGACCUCAAAUCAGGUAGGACUACCCGCUGAACUUAA
rnacentral:rRNA from 1 species